CCGACGGUGAGAGACGAAAGCUGGGGGAGCAAACCGGAUUAGAUACCCGGGUAGUCCCAGCCGUAAACGAUGUGCGUUAGGUGUAUCGGUGACCACGAGUCACCGAGGUGCCGAAGAGAAAUCGUGAAACGUACCGCCUGGGAAGUACGGUCGCAAGGCUGAAACUUAAAGGAAUUGGCGGGGGAGCACCACAACAGGUGGAGCCUGCGGUUUAAUCGGACUCAACGCCGGAAAACUCACCAGAUAAGACAGCUGAAUGAUAGUCGGGCUGAAGACUCUACUUGACUAGCUGAGAGGAGGUGCAUGGCCGUCGUCAGUUCGUACUGUGAAGCAUCCUGUUAAGUCAGGCAACGAGCGAGACCCACGCCAACAGUUGCU
rnacentral:rRNA from 1 species